rnacentral:lncRNA from 1 species
AUCCUGGAACACAUCUCUACGAGUCGCAUGGUUGCAGAUCCUCUGACUAAGCCUAUUGUUAGAGAAUUCUUUUUGGCUCAUGUUAGAGCUCUUGGACUUCGUAGGAUUUGAUUGUGUAGACAGUCGAUUAUUUUUUUGUAAUUUCUUGGUUAUUUAAUUACAAAUUAUUAUUUUGAAAAAGAUAUUUGGUAAGAUUAAUACACGUGCAUAUAUUUCCUAUAUUGUUAUAGAACUGAUUGAUAGUAUGUCACAGGCUGAUUGGCCCUCUCACACGGGCAAUCAUUCUUUUCGGCGCUGUAGAGAGCGAGCGAAAAU